rnacentral:rRNA from 1 species
GUUGACCUCGGAUCAGGUAGGACUACC